UGGGGAAUCUUGCACAAUGGGCGAAAGCCUGAUGCAGCAACGCCGCGUGAGGGACGAAGGCUUUCUGAGUUGUAAACCUCUUUCAGCAGGGACGAUUGUGACGGUACCUGCAGAAGAAGCCCCGGCCAACUACGUGCCAGCAGCCGCGGUAAUACGUAGGGGGCAAGCGUUGUCCGGAUUUAUUGGGCGUAAAGAGCUCGUAGGCGGCUUGGCAAGUCGGAUGUGAAACCUCCAGGCUUAACCUGGAGUCGCCAUUCGAUACUGCCAUGGCUAGAGUUUGGUAGGGGACCACGGAAUUCCUGGUGUAGCGGUGAAAUGCGCAGAUAUCAGGAGGAACACCAGCGGCGAAGGCGGUGGUCUGGGCCAAUACUGACGCUGAGGAGCGAAAGCGUGGGGAGCGAACAGG
rnacentral:rRNA from 1 species